GCCUGGGUGGCUCAGUUGGUUAAGCGUCCGACUUCAGCUCAGGUCAUGAUCUCGUGGUCCGUGGGUUCGAGCCCCAUAUUGGGCU
rnacentral:tRNA from 1 species